UCCCCUUCACCGAGCCGGACGCGCCGCCGCGCGCACGCCGAGGCCGAUCCGGAUCGAUCCGACGCCUGGUCCGACCCCGUGCACCCCUGGGACUCCCCGCUCGAGCAAAAGGCCAUCGGGAACCCUAGCGCACGCCCUCCCCUUUCUUUUCUCGUCUGCUCGAAGCCGCUGCGCCGUCUGGAUCUCGCCGGAGGAGCUCCGAGGCCGCCGUUGUUGACCGUCCGAAUCCACCGCUAUCACCAGAACGAUGCCGCCGCCGACGCCCAACUUCGCCGGGGCACCACCGUGGUUCACCUCGUCGCUACCGCCCGCAGAGGACGCCCCGCCGCCGUUGAACACCACCACCACCUCCGCCACUCACCGCCGCACCCAUCCGUCGCUUCACCUUCGCCGGAGACUCGCCGGAGAGCCACCGCCGCCGACGCCCGAAGCCGCCGCCGUUUUCCUCUGCUUCUGAUUGUCCGGAGUGCGACGCGAACUAUUGUCAGGAGUGUGACUUUCUGAACCAGAACCAAGG